rnacentral:lncRNA from 1 species
CUUAUUUCUAGUUACCUCAAUAUUUCUUUCUGAUUUUGUAAUUUGAUGUUAGUUGUAUGCUUUUAAAAUUUUGGAAGACAUCUUUAUAUUUUUGAAUUGAUGUGCACAAAAUUUGAAAAUAUUUAGAGUUCUGUUUCUGAUUUGCUUGAAUUAUACCAGUGCUCUACAUUAGCCAUGAGAUAUUUUUAAGAGAUGGAUUACAUCUCAUUAAGUAGCUUUAUAGUUGAAUAAUAUUACACAUGUGGAUUUAGGCAGUUGAUUGGUUCCCCUGACAGUGGCAUUAUACAUCAAAGUUAAGACCUUAUUUCAAUAUAAGUUACCAAAAAUACAUUAAAAUUAUAAAAAAUAUACUUAUGAUUUGUUUUUCUCAAAACUUUUGAAGAGCAUUACCAAUAUGCGGUUCCUAGUAGGGAAAUUAUGAAUUUUUUAAUCAAGUCUUUUUUAUAAUUUUAUGUAUUUGGUCAAUGAAACAUUUUAAGAUUUAGCUGUUCCUCAGACAGGGUUCAUUUGAGCUUCAUCUCAUUUAAAUAAAUCAAUGAUCAACAAUUAUUUGUGCUUAAGGGAAGUGAAUACUGUCCGUGUAAAUACACAGAUAUCAUGAUAAUAAAUGAGCUAGUUCCUGUUACAAGUUUUAUUGUCUCAACUCUGAUAAAAGUAUUCUGAAACUUUGCAAUAUGAUUUACAGCAAAAUAUAAGGAGGAUUUUGGAAAACAUGAUUUAAAUACCGUACCAAUUUUAGAGUAUCUUCUAAAAUGUGUGCUGGUACCAUAACACAUACUUUUUUAAACAAGAUUUCAAAAUGGACAAUGUAGGCUCUAAACACAUAUUUCAAAAUUAUUAUUAUUGGUCCCCUACAGACGAAGACGAAGGGGUCUUUAGGUUUGCACCCUUGUCUCACUGUAUGUCUGUCUGUCCAUUUGUCAGUCUGGCAAAUCAGUUUUCCAGACUUUUUUUUCGUAAUGCUUGAAGAUAUUGAUUUGAUUUUUGGUGUAUUGUUUUAUCAUUACAAGUUCCAGGUCAAAGUCGAUUUUCACAAUCUUUUCUCCUUGUUCAGUUAAAGCCCUUUCUCUAAAAUAGAAUUUUUGAUGAAAUACUUAUUAAUUACUAAAAUUUCUGUUCAAAGGGAAAUAACUCAUUUUUGAACUUUCCUAGAAUUAAAUUUUUUUGAAAUACUUAUUUUAAUUACUUGAUUUCUUUUCAAAAGGGAAAGAACUCAAUUUUUAAAAGAUUUGUAAAUGACAUUGUAUUAAAAGAUAAUUGAUAUUUUGAAUUUUUUUCCUUUUCUUUACUUUAGUAAAUUGUUUGUUAUUUUAUGUAGUUUACACCAUGACAAGUUGUAGAUCAAGUUAGAAUUUCUUUCCAUUACAAUGAAAUUUUAACCGGUAGGGGACUAUGUAUUGCCAUACUAUACUCACAGUAUGCUUGUUUAACCUAAUGCAUCCAUUAUCAGAGCUUACAAAAUAAAAAUAAAAAAUCAGCUGUUUUAUUACCAAAAUUACAAGUUUUAAAACAUUUUAAAGAUCACAAUUUUGAGCCUCAUUUUCUUGAAAAAAGCCAACAUAACCUGCUGUAUUUAACCAUUUUUCCAAGAUCACAUUUCAAUCUAUAACAUAUCUCAAUGUAAAGGGAAACUGUAUCUACUCCCCAUUAGUGAGUUUCUUGUUUACUACUUUAUUUUGUCUGUAAAAUCAUUGUAAAGUAUAUAUGUCAAUCUAACAGGAUUCAUGUGACAAAGACCUCAUUUUAUAUUUAGCAAAGUUAAUUUUUAUGAUACUUUUUUACUGAUGUAUGAAGUAAGACUAUCAUCGAAUUGUUCUGUCAUCACACAAUAAGAGUCAACAAUUUUACUUCAAUUAUGGUGGCAUUAGCUGUCACAUUCAUGUUCACUAUUUAGUUGGCACAAAUUUUUGAAAAACGUAUUUCAUUUCCCACUUGAAAAUUUUUUAAAAAAAUUAAAAAGAAAAAAAAAUUUCGCACUUUAGUUCUUUUCUUUUUCAUGCAAGCUAAAAUUAUAAUUAAGAAAAUUUACCAAAUUGAAUGUUUUUUAAACUUAGUUUUAUUUAAUUUUACAUUGAGAAGUUAAUACACUUCACAAACUAUCAUUUGAGAUUGAUUUAGUCAGAGAUGCAUUACAUAAGUGAUAAUAAGACAGAACAUGGCUGAGAUUAUACCUAGUGCAAUAAUUGUUUAUAAUUAUAUAAUCAUAUGUUUUUGUAUCUAGAUUUUUAUUUUGCUUUUCUUUCUGUUAUAUUUUUGUUACAGUAGCAAUCAUGUACCAUUGCUGUUUCUUAUGGAAAUAAAUAUUAU